AGUAACCCCAAGAAUGCUACAAUCUGUUGAUACGAGAAGCCUUUGUUCAUUAGUAUAUAAAUGCAUUCACUAAGAGCAUCAAAUGUAUCAUCCAAUCCGAAUUCAUACAAGGGAUCUCCUGUUUCGGUGUUCAAAUGCGAUAAGAAACCAAUAGUUUGGUCAUAAACUGCUAUGUGGCAAUUAUAGCUAAGGAUUUGCAUUCUCAUGAUUGAAUUCUAGUAUAUAGUAACAUUAUAGAAGAAAGUCUA